rnacentral:tRNA from 1 species
GGGAAUAGCUCAGCUGGUAGAGCACCACCUUGCCAAGGUGGAUGUCGCGGGUUCGAGUCCCGUUUCCC